rnacentral:rRNA from 1 species
CCUACGGGAGGCAGCAGUGAGGAAUAUUGGUCAAUGGCCGAGAGGCUGAACCCGCCAAGUCGCGUGAGGGAAGACGGCCCUACGGGUUGUAAACCUCUUUUGUCGGGGAGCCAAGCGAGUCACGUGUGACUCAUUUAGAGUACCCGAAGAAAAAGCAUCGGCUAACUCCGUGCCAGCAGCCGCGGUAAUACUGAGGAUGCGAGCGUUAUCCGGAUUUAUUGGGUUUAAAGGGUGCGCAGGCGGAGGUGCAAGUCAGCGGUCAAAUUGCGGGGCUCAACCCCGUACUGCCGUUGAAACUGCAUACCUUGAGUGCGCGAGAAGUAUGCGGAAGGCGUGGUGUAGCGGUGAAAUGCAUAGAUAUCACGCAGAACCCCGAUUGCGAAGGCAGCAUGCCGGCUUCCUACUGACGCUGAAGCACGAAAGCGGGGGGAUCGAACAGGAUUAGAUACCCCGGUAGUC